rnacentral:lncRNA from 1 species
GUGACACACAGUCCUAGGAUGUUAUUGGAGUAUUACACAUAUGCUUUUUAAACAUGUCUGUGGAAGUCGCACUGGAAUACAGUAGUAACGUAAAAGCAUUACAAUAGCCUGAAACAAUUGUUUGCCUUUAGACCACAAAAACUGCAGCUUUCAUAGCCACCCUGUCUGUCCCUCUGCAGUGUGAAAGACGCAAUGCGAAAUGAAGUAUCGCUAAGAAAAGGCUACGCUGACACUGGGGAACGUCUCUUUCUGCAGGCCAGACACGUGGACAUGUGGCCGUAGUCCGUGGAUGCCUUUGAGGAGCCUCCUACCCGGCAUUCACCGUCAGGCUGAAACGCAGCACUGGGGAGCAACCAAAAUGCUCAUUUCAAGUUUUUAUCACUGCCAUGAAGGGUAAAAAGUGUUUGGAUCCAGGUUUAUGGCCUUGUGUGGGUGUCAUGCUUCUAAGCUCCUGCCUGUCCUUGGAGAAAGGGACUGUAAAACUGCACUGACAGGUACGGCUGGUUGGAAGGAAGAAAGCCGCAGCCAGUCGUGGCGGCGCUGCGAGAGGCUGAAGAGGGCUGACGAGUGUCAUCACCAGCUGGAGCCAGGCCAACGCGCAAAGUGCAAGGCAGCACGGGGAACGGCAGCAAGCGGCCUGGGGCGUGCGAGCUAUUUUGAUGCCCUAACUUCCCGCUGCUCCCUGCUGGUACUGCUGCCCCUGUUGUCUCUCAGUCCAAAGAGCUUCAGAACAAGAGACAUGCUUUUGUGGAGUCUGGCAAAGCUUCACAAAGGAAAAGGAAAAAAUCAAUACGGCUUCAAAGCAAAGUCUUUGCUUCAGUGAAUAUGACAUUUGCCCUUUCCUCACUAGUGGGAAAAACAACAAGGACACUUACACCUGCAACGGAAGGAGAAUGAACAACAACAGAAAGACCUUCCAGGUUUGACUUGUAAAGGGAAAUAACGUUAUAGUCAUUGUCCCCAUUUGGCAACAUCAAAAGCAGGUGCAGGCGAUGCAGUCUGAGAAUGAAGUGGAAAGUAACAUAAAACCAAAACAAAAAAGAGACGAGGUGAAGGAAUUUUGAGCAAGUGACAAAGGACUCCACUGAAGAGACGAAGAAUGAAAGACAUGACACAAAGGUGAGGCCUGCUGCUGCGUGAGCUAACCCACUAUUAAAUGUCACCUGGAAAGGCAGACCAUCAUAUUAAAAGGACGGUGUGGUAAGUUUUACACUGGUCUUCACAGCUGUUGCGUAUGGCCACAGAAUCCCACGCUUCUCCGACGAAUGGCUCCUCAGUGAGGGCUUUGGUAGUGCAGGUCAGAAACUUUCCAACAAAAGUUGUCUGAUGGAGGGGAAAAAAAUGAAUGGUUUUGCAAAACCAAAACAACUUUGAAAAACUCACUGUUGUUUUUGCAUGAUUUAUUAGAAAAAAAAAAAGUAAACUAACGUAAAUCUUAAGCAGUCUGCUUCAUUCUUUUAUUUCAUACUGAAGUUUUCAUUCACUUCAUUUUUGUUUGACUGGUUUUUGUUUCCAGUUUCUUUCGUUUCAAAACUGGGUUUUCCAAGUUCUUAAUUUCAUUCCAUUUCAACUCUGCCACUUCUUAGCUAGUUUUCCAAGUUGUUUUGUUUUGAUGUUUCUACUUCUGUGUCCUUCUUCACGUGUAACUUUGGGCCUUUUUCUUGUGAAAUAACAGCUAUUGCUUCUGUGGGCUCUGUGUAAUAGUUGGAAAACAGCCUCUCGUAAACAAAGUAUUUUCCUUACAGUAACUGCAGCUGCAGCUAUCUCUGUGGUUUCUGGCCAGUGCAGGGGAUAAUUUACAGCACCUAACUUGGCCCGCAGAG